AAGACUAUACUUUCAGGGAUUAUUCUAGAGGUUCUGACUUGAUGAAUGUGUUUCUAAAGUGUUUGGUCUCGCUGACCUCGAUGAUGUGUCAUGUUAUUCCUUUUCUAAGCGUGAAGCUGACAGAGAGUAAUGAUUCACUUCAUGUGCUCUCUGUCAUUGAUGUUCUGUCUUUGCUUCUUUAUGGAGCAUUUAGGAAGGGAAUAUGAUCAGAGUGGU